GUGGGGAAUAUUGGGCAAUGGAGGCAACUCUGACCCAGCAACGCCGCGUGAAUGAAGAAGGCCUUCGGGUUGUAAAGUUCUUUAAUUGGGGACGAAGGAAAUGACGGUACCCAAAGAAUAAGCCACGGCUAACUACGUGCCAGCAGCCGCGGUAAUACGUAGGUGGCAAGCGUUGUCCGGAAUGACUGGGCGUAAAGGGAGCGUAGGCGGCGCGGUAAGUUAGGAGUGAAAUCCCGGGGCUCAACCCCGGAACUGCUUUUAAAACUGCCGUGCUUGAGUGAUGGAGAGGAAAGCGGAAUUCCUAGUGUAGCGGUGGAAUGCGUAGAUAUUAGGAGGAACACCAGAGGCGAAGGCGGCUUUCUGGACAUUAACUGACGCUGAGGCUCGAAAGCGUGGGGAGCAAACAGG
rnacentral:rRNA from 1 species